CUUCCCAUAAUUUCGCUAUUGCUAUAAACAUUGGGGUACAUGUGCCCCUAUGAAUCAGCACUCCUGUAUCUCUUGGAUAAAUUCCUAGCAGUGCUAUUGCUGGGUUGAAGGGUAGUUCUAUUUUUAAUUUUUUGUGGAACCUCCACACUGUUUUCCAGAGAGGCUGCACCAGUUUGCAUUCCCACCAACAGUGCAAGACGGUUCCCGUUUCUCCACAUCCUCACCAGCAUCUGUUGUUUCCUGAUUUGUUCAUUUUAGCCACUCUGACCGAAUGAAAGACUCUGGACUGUCUCUGAGAAGAAUGAGCUGGGAGUCGGUCUAGUCAUCAGGACCACUGUAGACCUAUUAGCGAGAGCUUCUUUGCACGAGUGACAUGAAUUCCGGGCAAUUAAAAAGGACAUGAAUUUCAAGACACUUAGGAAGAGGCUCUGCUUUCUAAUAGCUCUGCAUGUGACCAAGUGUAGUUCCUGAGAAAAGCACUGCAGAUUGGAAACCUCCACCUUAGGAGACGGUGGAGUUAUUGCCAUUUUCUAUUGUUUUACAAUAUUAUUGCAAGGAAACCACAUUAGGGGACUUGAUUUUGGCGGCUGAAGUGCUGUAUGUGGAUAUAACAACUUAAUAAAAGAGCAUAGAAAGAUUCUCUUGCACCGGAUGCGUGUCUUUAUUUUGCGUUUCCUCAAAGACGGGCUUUGAGUCUUAUUAGUAAGGCCUCAACCUUUGUCACAUUGAGUGAGGGAGAUGUGGCCCAGGAGCCCAGAGCCCUGAAGGUCACAGAGAGGACUCCUUUCCAGAGGGAGGGGAACUCCACAGGGAAGGCCUUCCACAUGAUGAAUUUCAGACACUUAUUCUCCUGCAUUUCAGUAGGAUAAAAGGCACUCUCUGUACUGUUGGGCUUCUUAGGGCAUGACUGUUAUUCUUUUAAACUUUUGUUUUUGUGUUAUCUAAAUUACUCAAGUAACACAUAAGUAUCAACUUCUGGGGAAAACUAUAAGAUUAUAGACAAGUUAAAUUUCCUCUUGGAUCCUGACCAUCAAUCCAGGCUCCUUUUUGCCAUCCUCUCCUUUAGUAUCCCCAACCCCCAUCCAGCAACCAUGCUCAGUUUCCUCUGCCUCCUUGGAAAUGUCUCACAUACUCUUACACAAUACCUGCAAGUCAAUAGUGUUAAGCGACUAGACAGGAUUGUUUUUAAAAGGUAUUUUUCCCCCCGCCUGCAUCGGUAUAAUAUUCUGUGUAUAUUUCUGCAA